GCUUUACUCAGAGUAGACCCACUGAAAGUAAUGAAUAGGACUAAACUAGGUCCAUUAAUUUCAGUGGGUCUACUCUGAGUAAAGC